GAUGAACGCUGGCGGCGUGCCUAACACAUGCAAGUCGAACGGAGUCGUUUUGGAAAUCUCUUCGGAGAUGGAAUUCUCGACUUAGUGGCGGACGGGUGAGUAACGCGUGAGCAAUCUGCCUUUAAGAGGGGGAUAACAGUCGGAAACGGCUGCUAAUACCGCAUAAAGCAUUAAAUUCGCAUGUUUUUGAUGCCAAAGGAGCAAUCCGCUUUUAGAUGAGCUCGCGUCUGAUUAGCUAGUUGGCGGGGUAACGGCCCACCAAGGCGACGAUCAGUAGCCGGACUGAGAGGUGGAACGGCCACAUUGGGACUGGGCCACGGCCCAGACUCCUACGGGAGGCAGCGGGGGGGAAUAUGGCGCAAUGGGGAAACCCUGACGCAGCAACGCCGCGUGAUUGAAGAAGGCCUUCGGGUUGUAAAGAUCUUUAAUCAGGGACGAAACAAAUGACGGUACCUGAAGAAUAAGCUCCGGCUAACUACGUG
rnacentral:rRNA from 1 species